rnacentral:rRNA from 1 species
AUUGAACGCUGGCGGAAUGCUUUACACAUGCAAGUCGAACGGCAGCACGGACGUCGGUCUGGUGGCGAGUGGCGAACGGGUGAGUAAUACAUCGGAACGUGCCCAAUCGUGGGGGAUAACGUAGCGAAAGCUACGCUAAUACCGCAUACGACCUACGAGUGAAAGCGGGGGAUCGCAAGACCUCGCGCGAUUGGAGCGGCCGAUGGCGGAUUAGGUAGUUGGUGGGGUAAAGGCCAACCAAGCCGACGAUCUGUAGCUGGUCUGAGAGGAUGAUCAGCCACACUGGAACUAAGACACGGUCCAGACUCCUACGGGAGGCAGCAGUGGGGAAUUUUGGACAAUGGGCGCAACUCUGAUCCAGCCAUUCCGCGUGCAGGAUGAAGGCCCUCGGGUUGUAAACUGCUUUUGUACAGAACGAAAAGGCUCUGGUUAAUACCUAGGGCUAAUGACGGUACUGUAAGAAUAAGCACCGGCUAACUACGUGCCAGCCGCCGCAGUAA